rnacentral:rRNA from 1 species
GAUGAACGCUGGCGGCGUGCCUAAUACAUGCAAGUAGAACGCUGAAGCUUGGUGCUUGCACCGAGCGGAUGAGUUGCGAACGGGUGAGUAACGCGUAGGUAACCUGCCUCUUAGCGGGGGAUAACUAUUGGAAACGAUAGCUAAUACCGCAUAACAGUCGAUAUCGCAUGAUAUUGAUUUGAAAGGUGCAAUUGCAUCACUAAGAGAUGGACCUGCGUUGUAUUAGCUAGUUGGUGAGGUAACGGCUCACCAAGGCAACGAUACAUAGCCGACCUGAGAGGGUGAUCGGCCACACUGGGACUGAGACACGGCCCAGACUCCUACGGGAGGCAGCAGUAGGGAAUCUUCGGCAAUGGGGGCAACCCUGACCGAGCAACGCCGCGUGAGUGAAGAAGGUUUUCGGAUCGUAAAGCUCUGUUGUAAGAGAAGAACGAGUGUGAGAGUGGAAAGUUCACACUGUGACGGUCACUUACCAGAAAGGGACGGCUAACUACGUGCCAGCAGCCGCGGUAAUACGUAGGUCCCGAGCGUUAUCCGGAUUUAUUGGGCGUAAAGCGAGCGCAGGCGGUUAGAUAAGUCUGAAGUUAAAGGCUGUGGCUUAACCAUAGUACGCUUUGGAAACUGUUUAACUUGAGUGCAAAAGGGGAGAGUGGAAUUCCAUGUGUAGCGGUGAAAUGCCUAGAUAUAUGGAGGAACACCGGUGGCGAAAGCGGCUCUCUGGUCUGUUACUGACUUCUGAGGCUCAAAAGCGUGGGGAGCGAACAGG